UCCGGCAUAGCUCAGCGGUAGAGUAGGUGGCUGUUAACCACUUGGUCGUAGGUUCGAAUCCUACUGCCGGAGCCA
rnacentral:tRNA from 1 species